rnacentral:misc_RNA from 1 species
GAUGAAGAACGUAGCGAAAUGCGAUACGUAAUGUGAAUUGCAGAAUUCAGUGAAUCAUCGAGUCUUUGAACGCACAUUGCGCCCCCUGGUAUUCCGGGGGGCAUGCCUGUCCGAGCGUCAUUGCUGCCCUCAAGCACGGCGUGUGUGUUGGGCCUCCGUCCUCCUCCCGGGGGACGGGCCCGAAAGGCAGCGGCGGCACCGCGUCCGGUCCUCGAGCGUAUGGGGCUUCGUCACCCGCUCUUGUAGGCCCGGCCGGCGCUUGCCGACACAUCAAUCUUUUUUCCAGGUUGACCUCGGAUCAGGUAGGGAUACCCGCUGAACUUAAGCAUAUCAAUAAGCGGAGGA